AAUCCAUAGGUUAAUGAGGCGAACCGGGGGAACUGAAACAUCUAAGUACCCCGAGGAAAAGAAAUCAACCGAGAUUCCCCCAGUAGCGGCGAGCGAACGGGGAGGAGCCCAGAGCCUGAAUCAGCAUGUGUGUUAGUGGAAGCGUCUGGAAAGGCGCGCGAUACAGGGUGAGAGCCCCGUACACAAAAGCGCACGUGCUGUGAGCUCGAUGAGUAGGGCGGGACACGUGGUAUCCUGUCUGAAUAUGGGGGGACCAUCCUCCAAGGCUAAAUACUCCUGACUGACCGAUAGUGAACCAGUACCGUGAGGGAAAGGCGAAAAGAACCCCGGCGAGGGGAGUGAAACAGAACCUGAAACCGUGUACGUACAAGCAGUGGGAGCCCCACCACUAAGCCAGUGGUGAACUCCACAUACGCAUCCUUUGCUGAGGAUACGGUUAACGGAGCGAAAGCGACG
rnacentral:rRNA from 1 species